AUAUAUUUUUAGUUGAAAUAUGGAGCCACAGCAACACUUUGACUUUUCCUCUUCAGAAGAUGAGACAGGCCGGGGUCAUCAUUGUUACAAAAGCAAGGCCUGUGAUCGUGACAAGGACAGGCUGGGGCAGAGACCACACACUCAACCAGGCUGACCUGGAGAGAGACCCUUCCAAAGGCAGUGGAGUGGAGGGCAUGGGCCUCCGAUGAGAGAACUCCAGAGCUGGCCGGGACCUACUGUGCUGGCAGCAGACAGGUGGACCCUCAGGCCCAGAGCCGGCAGCAGAGGGGGGUGAAUCCAUGGCAACAGGAGUCACAGGUGAACCAAUGGGAAACCAAACACACGCAUCGAAAGCCAAUCAAACACAAACCCCAAAUGUGAAGGCAGCAGCAAGUUCUUUGUGUAAUAAAUAUUGCAAAGCGCA
ensembl:lncRNA novel transcript